UACGGGGGGAGCAAGCGUUGUUCCGGAUUUUACUGGGGCGUAAAGGGCGCGGUAGGCGGUAGCACAAGUUCAGUUGUGAAAUCUCCGGGCUUAACUCGGAAAGGUCAACUGAUACUGUGCGACUAGGAGGUGCAGAAGGGGCAACUGGAAUUCUCGGUGUAGCGGUGAAAUGCGUAGAUAUCGAGAGGAACACCUGCGGCGAAGGCGGGUUGCUGGGCUGACACUGACGCUGAAGCGCGAAAGCCCAGGGGAGCGAACGGG
rnacentral:rRNA from 1 species